AUUGAACGCUGCGGAAGGCUUAACACAUGCAAGUCGAGCGAGCGGCGGACGGGUGAGUAAUGCUUAGGGAUCUGACUAUUAGUGGGGGACAACAUCUCGAAAGGGAUGCUAAUACCGCAUACUAAUAGAUGAGACUAAGUCGGAUUAGCUAGUUGGUGGGGUAGAGGCCUACCAAGGCGACGAUCUGUAGCGGGUCUGAGAGGAGGAUCCGCCACACUGGGACUGAGACACGGCCCAGACUCCUCCGGGAGGGAGCAGUGGGGAAGAUGGGACAAGGGGGGGAACCCUGAUCCAGCCAUGCCGCGUGUGUGAAGAAGGCCUUAUGGUUGUAAAGCACUUUAAGCGAGGAGGCGUUACUCGCAGAAUAAGCACCGGCUAACUCGGUGCCAGCAGCCGCGGUAAUUC
rnacentral:rRNA from 1 species